rnacentral:rRNA from 1 species
GAUGAACGCUGGCGGCGUGCCUAAUACAUGCAAGUCGAGCGAACAGACGCUGAGCUUGCUCCUUUGACGUUAGCGGCGGACGGGUGAGUAACAUGUGGAUAACCUACCUAUAAUACUGGUAUCAUUUCGGGAAACCGGCUCUAAUACCGGAUAACAUGUUGAACCGCAUGGUUCAACAGUGAAAGACGGUCUUUCUGGCUCUUAUAGAUGGAUCCGCGCCGCAUUAGCUAGUUGGUAAGGUAACGGCGUACCAAGGCAACGCUGCGUAGCCGACCUGAGAGGGUGAUCGGCCACACUGGAACGGAGACACGGUCCAGACUCAUACGGGAGGCAGCAGUAGGGAAUCUUGCGCAAUGGGCGAAAGCCUGACGAAGCAAGGCCGCGUGAGUGAAGAAGGUCUUCGGAUCGUAAAACUCUGUUAUUGGGGAAGAACAAAUGUGUAAGUAACUAUGCACGUGUUGACGGUACCUAAUCAAAAAGCCACGGCUAACUACGUG